rnacentral:rRNA from 1 species
CGGUCCAGACUCCUACGGGAGGCANCANUGGGGAAUAUUGCACUAUGGGCGCAAGCCUGAUGCAGCCAUGCCGCGUGUGUGAAGAAGGCCUUCGGGUUGUAAAGCACUUUCAGCGAGGAGGAAGGCAGUCGUGUUAAUAGCACGGUUGAUUGACGUUACUCGCAGAAGAAGCACCGGCUAACUCCGUGCCAGCAGCCGCGGUAAUACGGAGGGUGCAAGCGUUAAUCGGAAUUACUGGGCGUAAAGCGCACGCAGGCGGUUUGUUAAGUCAGAUGUGAAAUCCCCGCGCUUAACGUGGGAACUGCAUUUGAAACUGGCAAGCUAGAGUCUUGUAGAGGGGGGUAGAAUUCCAGGUGUAGCGGUGAAAUGCGUAAAGAUCUGGAGGAAUACCGGUGGCGAAGGCGGCCCCCUGGACAAAGACUGACGCUCAGGUGCGAAAGCGUGGGGAGCAAACAGGAUUANAUACCCUGGUAG